UAAAAUGAGAGUUUGAUCCUGGCUCAGGACGAACGCUGGCGGCGUGCCUAAUACAUGCAAGUCGAACGAAACUUUCUUACACCGAAUGUUUGCAUUCACCGUAAGAAGUUGAGUGGCGGACGGGUGAGUAACACGUGGGUAACCUGCCUAAAAGAAGGGGAUAACACUUGGAAACAGGUGCUAAUACCGUAUAUCUCUAAGGAUCGCAUGAUCCUUAGAUGAAAGAUGGUUCUGCUAUCGCUUUUAGAUGGACCCGCGGCGUAUUAACUAGUUGGUGGGGUAACGGCCUACCAAGGUGAUGAUACGUAGCCGAACUGAGAGGUUGAUCGGCCACAUUGGGACUGAGACACGGCCCAAACUCCUACGGGAGGCAGCAGUAGGGAAUCUUCCACAAUGGACGCAAGUCUGAUGGAGCAACGCCGCGUGAGUGAAGAAGGUCUUCGGAUCGUAAAACUCUGUUGUUAGAGAAGAACACGAGUGAGAGUAACUGUUCAUUCGAUGACGGUAUCUAACCAGCAAGUCACGGCUAACUACGUGCCAGCAGCCGCGGUAAUACGUAGGUGGCAAGCGUUGUCCGGAUUUAUUGGGCGUAAAGGGAACGCAGGCGGUCUUUUAAGUCUGAUGUGAAAGCCUUCGGCUUAACCGGAGUAGUGCAUUGGAAACUGGAAGACUUGAGUGCAGAAGAGGAGAGUGGAACUCCAUGUGUAGCGGUGAAAUGCGUAGAUAUAUGGAAGAACACCAGUGGCGAAAGCGGCUCUCUGGUCUGUAACUGACGCUGAGGUUCGAAAGCGUGGGUAGCAAACAGGAUUAGAUACCCUGGUAGUCCACGCCGUAAACGAUGAAUGCUAGGUGUUGGAGGGUUUCCGCCCUUCAGUGCCGCAGCUAACGCAAUAAGCAUUCCGCCUGGGGAGUACGACCGCAAGGUUGAAACUCAAAGGAAUUGACGGGGGCCCGCACAAGCGGUGGAGCAUGUGGUUUAAUUCGAAGCAACGCGAAGAACCUUACCAGGUCUUGACAUCCUUUGACCACCUAAGAGAUUAGGCUUUCCCUUCGGGGACAAAGUGACAGGUGGUGCAUGGCUGUCGUCAGCUCGUGUCGUGAGAUGUUGGGUUAAGUCCCGCAACGAGCGCAACCCUUGUUGUCAGUUGCCAGCAUUAAGUUGGGCACUCUGGCGAGACUGCCGGUGACAAACCGGAGGAAGGUGGGGACGACGUCAAGUCAUCAUGCCCCUUAUGACCUGGGCUACACACGUGCUACAAUGGACGGUACAACGAGUCGCGAGACCGCGAGGUUUAGCUAAUCUCUUAAAGCCGUUCUCAGUUCGGAUUGUAGGCUGCAACUCGCCUACAUGAAGUCGGAAUCGCUAGUAAUCGCGAAUCAGCAUGUCGCGGUGAAUACGUUCCCGGGCCUUGUACACACCGCCCGUCACACCAUGAGAGUUUGUAACACCCAAAGCCGGUGGGGUAACCGCAAGGAGCCAGCCGUCUAAGGUGGGACAGAUGAUUGGGGUGAAGUCGUAACAAGGUAGCCGUAGGAGAACCUGCGGCUGGAUCACCUCCUUU
rnacentral:rRNA from 1 species